GUUAUCUGAAGUUGGAGUUCUUCAUGCUCUGUGGAAACUGUAGUAUAUAGAACUCCAGCAUUUUCCUGACAAACAUCAAAGCUACUUUGGAUCUGGGGUUGACUUCACGUCCCUCAAAGAGCAUUUCAAAUGGCAAUCUUCAGACUGCAAAGAAAACUUGGGAUCGUUGCUGUUAGAGGAGCUAGACAUGAAUGUGGACAAAUCAAGAUUCCCUUUCUCCCUCACCAGGCCUCCUAUACAAGUCUCUCUACCCAAUUAUUCUGCACCAGGACUGCUCAGCCACUGUCCGAGAUGAUCAAUCCUGAACCUAACACCAUAAAAUAUUCAAUCGCUCCAUACCUUGGCCUGCUCUCUGGGCAUUCCCAAAAGCUAUUAGGCAGGGCCGAGCAAGACACAGUGGGAAGGAGGACUACUCAGUUUCACAUGUUAAACCUCCAGUGAGAUGAAGAGGGUUCUGCACUAAGGUCCUGUGCCUUACUCCAAGAAGUGUUUCUCACCAGCGAUUAACAGGAUGCAACACACAAAAAGGGCUAGUGAAUCUGUUUGUUACAGUCUACUUACUAAGGCUAUGGCUACAAUACUCCAGUGCUGAAGUCAGUGAAAAGGCAUCAUCCAAACACAAUCCAAGGAAAAUGCAAGCUGAUACAGCACAAAGAUGCUUUGUUUAAGAAUGGCAGAAAUUUCCAGCAACUAUCUGGGAGAAAAAAAAUGCAGGAUGGGAGGGAAUGUAAUCAAAUAACAAAACAAACCCAAACUAAAAGAGAAUCUUUAUAAACCAGCACAAGGACACUUUGUUUUUAAGUGCACACAAUGAAUUUUAAAGAUCUUUGUUCAGAAGGGAAAUAAAGUAUUAUGAAGGACUGACACAUUUGAUGGAUGGAUGGUUUCUGAAAAACCACAUUAUCAAUUACUUUUUCCUUGUUUGGCUCCAGUCCAGUAAUUUUUAUUUGAACAAGCCACAUGCUAGCAUGGUUUUGAUUGCAGGAAGUGACUGGUUGUUGUUAAAGGAUACUAUUUCACUGAUGAGCUUAUCUCUUCCUUCCCCCUCCCCUUUCUGAUGGGACUCCGAUAUGAAAGGCACAGCUUCAGUUGUUAUAAACAGAGUCAGGGAUUGUUUGAUAGACCCACCCGUGUUUUGCUUUCAGCCUUCUGUGGUACAAUCCAGACAAUGUAUUCAGCAGGGCUUCAGAAAAAAACAGUUGAAUUCGGCUUAUUUCUGUUCUCAACUCUGACAUGAAAUUUUGAUAUCUCUGAUGUUUGUCUCUCAUAAAUCUAAGUUUGUUAGCAAAAAAAGGUUAUGAAUGUUAUAUUCUUUUUUACAUUAGACCACUAUCUCAAGUGAGUCCUACUGAGGAAAAAGAAUCUUUAUAGAACAGUGAAGCUAAAAUGUAUCACAGAUCUUCUCAAACAAUACAGUGCCUUGUUCUAGCUUUGCUUGUUUGCUAAUCUUAUCAAAACAAGUAUAUCAGAGUAUUAUUAGUGUAAAUAUAAGAAACACAGCUAAUUAAGCUAUAUUAUUAAGUGCUCUCAGUUUUCCCUUGCAAUUAAAGAAAGAUUUGGGGGCAGUCAUCAGUGGAUAGGAAAUUAUCUAUGAAAUCAGUUGCUGACACACACUGUGUGUGUUUGUGUGUGUGUGUGUGUGUGUGUGUGUCUGCUAGUCAAGAUAACUUCCUUUAUGACUGAAUUUUUUUUGUGUGUUACCAUGCCUGAAACUUAAACUAUUUCUAAGUUCCCAGGGUAUCAUGGUAACUAUAGGCUUUGGAUAGUUACUUGUUUCCUAGUUCUAUAUUUUAAACAUUGAUUUUAGUGAUUAUUUCUCUGCUGAGAAUUAAAAGUAAAAAGGUGGUCUUAAACAAUGGGCCAUUUGAUUAUUCAUCAGAACAUGAAAACAAUUCUAAAUGAAUUAGAAUUUAACCUUGUUCAAUGGAAGAAAUAUAAAUUUAGCAACUAUUUUGCUGAUUU
ensembl:lncRNA